rnacentral:rRNA from 1 species
CUGAGACAGGUGCUGCAUGGCUGUCGUCAGCUCGUGUUGUGAAAUGUUGGGUUAAGUCCCGCAACGAGCGCAACCCUUAUCCUUUGUUGCCAGCGGUUAGGCCGGGAACUCAAAGGAGACUGCCAGUGAUAAACUGGAGGAAGGUGGGGAUGACGUCAAGUCAUCAUGGCCCUUACGAGUAGGGCUACACACGUGCUACAAUGGCAUAUACAAAGAGAAGCGACCUCGCGAGAGCAAGCGGACCUCAUAAAGUAUGUCGUAGUCCGGAUUGGAGUCUGCAACUCGACUCCAUGAAGUCGGAAUCGCUAGUAAUCGUGGAUCAGAAUGCCACGGUGAAUACGUUCCCGGGCUUUGUACACACCGCCCGUCACACCAUGGGAGUGGGUUGCAAAAGAAGUAGGUAGCUUAA